UACAGAGGCCACGAGCGUUAGUCGGAAUCACUGGGCUUAAAGGGUGCGUAGGCGGCCCGCCAAGUGCUUUGUGAAAUCCCGGAGCUCAACUCCGGAACAGCAGGGCAUACUGGCGGGCUCGAGGCAGGUAGGGGCUGACAGAACUGUAGGUGGAACGGUGAAAUGUGUAGAUAUCUACAGGAAUGCCGAUGGUGAAGACGGUCAGCUGGGCCUGUCCUGACGCUGAGGCACGAAAGCGUGGGGAGCAAACAGG
rnacentral:rRNA from 1 species